rnacentral:rRNA from 1 species
UACAGAGGGUGCAAGCGUUAAUCGGAAUCACUGGGCUUAAAGCGUUCGUAGGCGGGCUUGCAGGCGCGUUGUGAAAGCCCCCGGCUCAACCGGGGGACUGCUUCGCGAACCGCAAGUCUUGAGUCAAGUAGGGGCGGUCGGAACGAUAGGUGGAGCGGUGAAAUGCGUAGAUAUCUAUCGGAACGCCAAAGGUGAAGACAGGCCGCUGGGCUUGUACUGACGCUGAGGAACGAAAGCGUGGGGAGCAAACGGG